CAAACCAAAGCUGGCGACCGGCGCACGGGUGAGUAACACGUAUCCAACCUGCCUCAUACUCGGGGAUAGCCUUUCGAAAGGAAGAUUAAUAUCCGAUAGCAUAUAUUUCCCGCAUGGGUUUUAUAUUAAAGAAAUUCGGUAUGAGAUGGGGAUGCGUUCCAUUAGUUUGUUGGGGGGUAACGGCCCACCAAGACUACGAUGGAUAGGGGUUCUGAGAGGAAGGUCCCCCACAUUGGAACUGAGACACGGUCCAA
rnacentral:rRNA from 1 species